rnacentral:tRNA from 1 species
GCUUGGGUGGCUCAGUUGGUUAAGCAUCUGACUUUGGGUCAGGUCAUGAUCUCAUGGUUCGUGAGUUCGAGCCCCACGUCAGGCU